rnacentral:lncRNA from 1 species
UUGUCCGUGCAUUUGGGAGAUAUUGCUCGUUUAUAGGGAAAAUGAACCAUAUAAAAUCCCCAUGUUCCAAAAUGAUAUCAUUUCUAUCUACAUUAGGCAUGAUUAUUAACUGUACACAAACUCCACAAAAAAUAUCAUAGCAAUACUUUUUCUGGAGGAAAAAAUCACCAAAUCACCUUCUGAAUAUGAUCUAGCAUGAUUAAUUGCAUCGUAACAUCAGCAUUUUUUCUUACCUUAUUAUUAUUAUACUAAUAAAGCAGCGAUUGCUUCUGGUCGUCCGUCGCGUUAUUUUACAUAAACACCCCUGCCUUAUUUGUUAAUUAACCCGCAGUACAUGGCUAAAUCAGAACGAACCUAAUACCCCAUCGGUUAAUUACACCUAAUCUCACCAGUUCAUAUAGGUACACAUCGAUUAUUCAACAAGCGAUCACAAAAAUCAGCAAACAGAGGUGAGGAUAAUUAGAAGGGGAACGGAGACGGUCGAGGGCAGUCGAAUCCGGACGGAUCCGGUCCGGUGGAGGCAGAUCCGGAGGCGGCGCAUCAAAUCCCUCGACAGGAGGAGCAGACGAGGCCGGGGACGGUCGAGGGCAGCCGGAUCCGGUCCGAUGGAGGCGGAUCCGGCGGUGACACGUCAAAUCCGGCCACGGGGAGGAGCGGCGACGGCAAAUCCGGACGGAUCCGGCGGGAGGCACGUCAAAUCCGGCGACGGGAGGAAUAGACGAGGUCGGGGACGAUCAAGGGCAGCCGGAUCCGUUUGCAAUGGCGAGGCUCCUUGCGUGCUCCCUGCAUGACCAAGGAAAAAAAAGGCUAAGAAGGUGAGGAGGAGACAUGAAGAAGGAGAAGGAGAGGCGCUGGAGCCGGUGUGGGUCGCGGCGUGCGCGAGGGAUUGGGGGCGGGCGCUGAGCUGAGCCCGUGGAGGAAAGAGGAGUCGUGAGGCUCGGGGGUGACCUCGAUGCCAUCUGCAUCCAUAGCUGGAAGGGGGGAGGGAGUGAGGGAGAGACGAGGAUGAGCUGUGUUGGCCGAGAAGAUAAGGUUUGAUGGAGCGACACGCAGCGGUGCGUCGGGCCACAUGACACCCGCGUGAGAGGCGUAGACGGGCUCAUGCGUGCAUGCAUCACGGCUAAAACAAUAAAUAAAUAAUAAGAAAAAGAGAGUGCAUCACGGCGACGGGUGGCAUGCAAGCGCGAGAGCAUUGAGGGGUCGGUCGAGAGCUAGCAGUGCUAGCCAGCUAAGCUAUGGACUGAGUAUACGAGUUUUUUCAACAUUUUCAACAUUUCUUGGACAAAAAAUUGAAGAUUUUCUAAUAUUAUUUUUUCUUCAAUACGGUGAACAAAAGGGAAUUCUGAACUUUUUGGAAACGUGAACAAAAU